rnacentral:rRNA from 1 species
AGCGAAUAGAUACCCGGGUAGUCCACGCUGUAAACGAUGGAUACUUGUUGUUAGAGGUAUUGACCCCUCUAGUGACGUAGCUAAACGCGAUAAGUAUCCCGCCUGGGGAGUACGGUCGCAAGAUUAAACUCAAAGAAAUUGACGGGGCCCGCACAAGCGGUGGAGCAUGUGGUUUAAAUUCGAUGCAACGCGAAGAACCUUACCUAGGCUUGACAUGAACUGGAAGGGUGGCAGAAACGCCCCGCCCGCAAGGUCGGUUCACAGGUGCUGCAUGGCUGUCGUCAGCUCGUGUCGUGAGAUGUUGGG